GGUCUGUUGGUGGAAGCGGUUAACACACAUGGUUUUCAUCCAUGCAUGCACGGGUUCGAUCCCCGUACAGACUACCA
rnacentral:tRNA from 1 species